CGAAGAGCGACCUCCGGAAGCUCAAAGGGACGCUAAAGAAUCCAUACGCUGUGAGCGAACAGGAAGCGAACGAAGAGAAGAGCUGGACGGGCCGGUUCGGCAAGAACGUCAAAAAAAUUGAGUUGCCUGAUGACAAAGACCUGAAGAAGAAAGAGAAGCAGCGUCUGGAGAAGGAGAAGAAGGA